rnacentral:rRNA from 1 species
UCUGGCGGCCUUAGCGCGGUGGUCCCACCUGACCCCAUGCCGAACUCAGAAGUGAAACGCCGUAGCGCCGAUGGUAGUGUGGGGUCUCCCC